rnacentral:lncRNA from 1 species
UAACUUUUCUCACAGCGAAUUCGAUUUCGGUAAGGUUAGCCUUGAACCUCGCCAUAGCCUUUCGUUAGAGCCAGGAGCUCAGAUAGAGGAUGGCAGAG